rnacentral:rRNA from 1 species
GACGAACGCUGGCGGCGCGCUUAAUACAUGCAAGUCGAGCGAGAACCGGAGCUUCGGCUCCGGGGACAGCGGCGAACGGGUGAGUAACACGUGGGUAACCUGCCCUCGGCACCGGGAUAGCCCGGGGAAACCCGGAUUAAUACCGGAUGGCCCUUUCGGUCUUCGGACCGGUCGGCAAAGGUAGCUUCGGCCUCCGGCCGAGGAUGGGCCCGCGGCGGAUUAGCUUGUUGGUGAGGUAACGGCUCACCAAGGCUCCGAUCCGUAGCUGGUCUGAGAGGACGAUCAGCCACACUGGGACUGAGACACGGCCCAGACUCCUACGGGAGGCAGCAGUAGGGAAUCUUGCGCAAUGGGCGAAAGCCUGACGCAGCGACGCCGCGUGCGGGAAGACGGCCUUCGGGUUGUAAACCGCUUUCAGGAGGGACGAAGCCACUCGGGUGAAUAGCCCAGAGGGUGACGGUACCUCCAGAAGAAGCCCCGGCUAACUACGUGCCAGCCGCCGCGGUAAGAC